rnacentral:rRNA from 1 species
UGGCGGCGUGCCUAACGACAUGCAAGUCGAGCGGAGAUGAUGUGAGGAAGUUUCGGAGUGGAAUCACAUAUUUAGCGGCGGACGGGUGAGUAACGCGUGAGCGACCAACCUUGCACAGGGGGAGUAACGGACCGAAAGGUUCGCUAAUACCGCAUGAGACCACGGUGUGCAUGACACAGAGGUCAAAGGAGAGAUCCGGUGCAAGACGGGCUCGCGUCCGAUUAGGUAGUUGGAGGGGUAACGGCCCACCAAGCCUAUGAUCGGUAGCCGACCUGAGAGGGUGAUCGGCCACAUUGGAACUGAGAUACGGUCCAAACUCCUACGGGAGGCAGCAGUGGGGAAUAUUGGGCAAUUGGGGGAAACCCUGACCCAGCAACGCCGCGUGAAGGAAGAAGGUUUUCGGAUUGCAAACUUCUGUCCUUGGUGAAGAGAAGAAGACGGUAGCCAAGGAGGAAGCCCCGGCUAACUACGUGCCAGCCGCCGC